GACGAACGCUGGCGGCGUGCUUAACACAUGCAAGUCGAACGGAAAGGCCCUGCUAUUGUGGGGUGCUCGAGUGGCGAACGGGUGAGUAACACGUGAGUAACCUGCCCCUGACUUUGGGAUAACUUCAGGAAACUGGGGCUAAUACCGGAUAGGAGCUCCUGCUGCAUGGUGGGGGUUGGAAAGUCUCGGCGGGUGGGGAUGGACUCGCGGCUUAUCAGCUUGUUGGUGGGGUAGUGGCUUACCAAGGCUUUGACGGGUAGCCGGCCUGAGAGGGUGACCGGCCACAUUGGGACUGAGAUACGGCCCAGACUCCUACGGGAGGCAGCAGUGGGGAGUAUUGCACAGUGGGCGGAAGCCUGAUGCAGCAACGCCGCGUGCGGGAUGACGGCCUUCGGGUUGUAAACCGCUUUCGCCUGUGACGACGCGUGAGUGACGGUAAUGGGUAAAGAAGCACCGGCUAACUACGUG
rnacentral:rRNA from 1 species